AUUGAACGCUGGCGGCAGGCCUAACACAUGCAAGUCGAACGAGUGGCGGACGGGUGAGUAAUGUCUGGGAAACUGCCCGAUGGAGGGGGAUAACUACUGGAAACGGUAGCUAAUACCGCAUACCAUCGGAUGUGCCCAGAUGGGAUUAGCUAGUAGGUGGGGUAAUGGCUCACCUAGGCGACGAUCCCUAGCUGGUCUGAGAGGAUGACCAGCAAAACUGGAACUGGUACACGGUCCAAACGCCUAGGGGAGGAAGAAGUGGGGAAUAUUGCACAAUGGGGGCAAGCCUGAUGCAGCCAUGCCGCGUGUAUGAAGAAGGCCUUCGGGUUGUAAAGUACUGUCCGCGAGGAGGCGUUACUCGCAGAAGAAGCACCGGCUAACUCCGUGCCAGCAGCCGCGGUAAUUC
rnacentral:rRNA from 1 species